rnacentral:rRNA from 1 species
GAGGUCUUCGGAUUGGCUUUGGGGAGCCGGCGACGGCACCCUAUCGCUGAGAAGUCGAUCAAACUUGGUCAUUUAGAGGAAGUAAAAGUCGUAACAAGGUUUCCGUAGGUGAACCUGCGGAAGGAUCAUUAUUGAAAUUAUAGGUGAGGGUUGUAGCUGGCCUCUCGGGGCAUGUGCACGCCCGAGCCCUUAAUCCACACACACCUGUGAACCUAUUGUAAGGGCCCUUAAAAAAGGCCUUUACGUCUUAUCAUCAACCCAUCGUAUGUCUCAUAGAAUGUAAAUAUAUGUCCUCGCCUUAAAAAGCGUUGAUAAACUUAUACAACUUUCAACAACGGAUCUCUUGGCUCUCGCAUCGAUGAAGAACGCAGCGAAAUGCGAUAAGUAAUGUGAAUUGCAGAUUUUCAGUGAAUCAUCGAAUCUUUGAACGCACCUUGCGCUCCUUGGUAUUCCGAGGAGCAUGCCUGUUUGAGUGUCAUUAAAUUCUCAACUCUGAUCGAUUUGUUUCGACUUCGGAGCUUGGAUUUGGAGCGUGCUGGCGUCGGUCGGCUCCUCUUAAAUGCAUCAGCGGAAUCUAACGUUUCGGANGUCAGUGUGAUAAUCAUGUUGCGCUGUCUGUCUGAUCCGAAAGCCCGCUCACAAUGGUCUUCGGACAACUUCAUAUCAAAUUUGACCUCAAAUCAGGUAGGACUACCCGCUGAACUUAAGCAUAUCAAUAAGCGGAGGAAAAGAAACUAACAAGGAUUCCCCUAGUAACUGCGAGUGAAGCGGGAAAAGCUCAAAUUUAAAAUCUGGCGGUCUUNCGGCCGUCCGAGUUGUAAUCUGGAGAAGCGUUUAUCCGCGUCGGACCGUGUACAAGUCUUCUGGAAGGGAGCGUCGUAGAGGGUGAGAAUCCCGUCUUUGACACGGAC